rnacentral:tRNA from 1 species
ACCCUCAUAGUAAAAUGGAUAUUACGGGUUCCUCCUAAGAAUCAAGUGCAGGUUCGAUUCCUGCUGAGGGUGCCA